rnacentral:tRNA from 1 species
ACCUGGCUGGCUCAAUUGGAGGAGCAUGUGGCUCUUAAUCUCAGGGUCGUGGGUUUGAGGCCCAUGUUGGGUA